rnacentral:rRNA from 1 species
CACGUAGGGCGCAAGCGUUGUCCGGAAUUAUUGGGCGUAAAGAGCUCGUAGGCGGCUUGGCAAGUCGGAUGUGAAAACUCCAGGCUCAACCUGGAGCCGCCAUUCGAUACUGCUAUGGCUAGAGUCCGGUAGGGGAGUGUGGAAUUCCCGGUGUAGCGGUGAAAUGCGCAGAUAUCGGGAGGAACACCGAUGGCGAAGGCAGCACUCUGGGCCGGUACUGACGCUGAGGAGCGAAAGCGUGGGGAGCGAACAGG